GAUGAACGCUAUCGGCAGGCUUAAUACAUGCAAGUCGAGGGGCAGCAUGAUUGUAGCAAUACAAUUGAUGGUGUCCGGCAAACGGGUGCGGAACACGUACACAACCUUCCAACAAGUGGGGGAUAGCCCAGAGAAAUUUGGAUUAAUACCCCGUAACAUAGCGAUGUGGCAUCACAUUGCUAUUAUAGAUUUUUCGCUUGUUGAUGGGUGUGCGGCUGAUUAGAUAGUUGGCGGGGUAACGGCCCACCAAGUCUACGAUCAGUAGCUGAUGUGAGAGCAUGAUCAGCCACACGGGCACUGAGACACGGGCCCGACUCCUACGGGAGGCAGCAGUAAGGAAUAUUGGACAAUGGACGCAAGUCUGAUCCAGCCAUGCCGCGUGAAGGAUUAAGGUCCUCUGGAUUGUAAACUUCUUUUAUAAGGGACGAAAAAAGGCUUUUCUAAGUCGUCUGACGGUACCUUAUGAAUAAGCACCGGCUAACUCCGUGCCAGCCGCCGCCGUAAUAC
rnacentral:rRNA from 1 species